rnacentral:rRNA from 1 species
ACCCGCUGAAUUUAAGCAUAUAAGUAAGCGGAGGAAUAGAAACUAACAUGGGCUCCCUCGGUAAUGGCGAAUGAACAGGGAUCGGCUCACUUUGGAAAUUGGGACUCAUGGUCCUGAAUUGUAAUAUCAAGAUGUAAUACCAACAGGAGUGCGGGUGUAAGCCUGGUGGAAAAGGGCAACGGUGAGGGUGAGAGCCCCGUGUGUCGUCUGUCGCUUGCUGUUCACGGUGUUCAUGCUAAGAGUCAUGCUCCUUGGGAUUGGAGCGUAAAGAAGGUGGUAAAUCUCAUCUGAAGCUGAGCACUAGCUUGAGACUAAUAGCAAACAAGUACCAUGAGGGGAAGGUGAAAAGGACUUUGAGAAGAGAGUUAAACAGUGCUUGAAAUUGCUGAAAGGACUUUGAGGGAAACCUGUGUGGCUGGAUAAGAUUGCUACGGUUCCUGCCUUUUCUUUCCACGUCAUGCCAAGUGUUGUGACAGUGUGUAAGCAGGAUGUGUGCGGUGUCUCUUUUCCUACCUGCUUCCUUUGGCUUACGUGUGAUAAAACUUAUACUGCAUGGUUGUCUAUCUUUUGAAUUACGAAUGCGAUCGAGUUUAUUUACAAGCAAGUGUGUGUGGUCACUACAAGGUUUCAAUCGCCCCGUCUUGAAACACGGACCAAGGAGUCUAACAUAUGAGCAAGCUCAUGGGUAGUGGAGGCCUGCAUGUGUAACGAAAGUGAGUGCUGGGAAAUGAUGCACCAGCAGCCGACCAAUCACUUGAGAGAGGUUUGUGCGUGAGCAUGUUUGUUAGGGCCCGAAAGAUGGUGAACUAUGCUUGUGAAGGGUGAACUCAGGGGAAACUCUGAAGGAGGCCCACAGCGAUACUGACGUGCAAAUCGUUCGUCGUAUAUGGGUAUAGGGGCGAAAGACUAAUCGAACCAUCUAGUAGCUGGUUCCCUCCGAAGUUUCCCUCAGGAUAGCUGGAGCUGGGCAAUUUUAUCAGGUAAAGCGAAUGAUUAGAGGAAUCGGGAGCAUGUUGCUUUCGACCUAUUCUCAAACUUUAAAUGGGUAAGAUCCUGUGGUUGCCCGGGUGAACUACUGGGAUCAAUGGUGCUUCUAGGUGGGCCAUUUUUGGUAAGCAGAACUGGCGAUGAGGGAUGAACCUAAUGCUGGGCUAAAGCACUCAACUGCUCGCUUAUUUGAUACCAUGAAGGGUGUUGGUUCAUUUGAACAGCAGGACGGUGGUCAUGGAAGUCGAAAUCCGCUAAGGAGUGUGUAACAACUCACCUGCCGAAUGGACUAGCCCCGAGAAUGGAUAGCGCUUAAGCGUGUGGCUGAUACUCAGCCAUUGCUGCAAUUGUGUCUGUGCCAAUGAGUAGGAGGGCAUGAGGGCUUGUGACGACUCUUGCGGCGUAAGCCUGGGUGAAACGGUGUUUGGCGCAGAUCUUGGUGGUAGUAGC